CAGUAGCCGCGGGAAUACGGAGGGUGCAAGCGUUAAUCGGAAUUACUGGGCGUAAAGCGUGCGUAGGCGGUUCGUUAAGUCUGUUGUGAAAGCCCCGGGCUCAACCUGGGAAUGGCAAUGGAUACUGGCGAGCUAGAGUGUGUCAGAGGAUGGUGGAAUUCCCGGUGUAGCGGUGAAAUGCGUAGAGAUCGGGAGGAACAUCAGUGGCGAAGGCGGCCCCCUGGACAAAGACUGACGCUCAGGUGCGAAAGCGUGGGGAGCAAACAGGAUUAGAUACCCCAGUAGUCCCUGUCUCUUAUAC
rnacentral:rRNA from 1 species